rnacentral:rRNA from 1 species
AUUGAACGCUGGCGGCAGGCCUAACACAUGCAAGUCGAGCGGGGUUUUCGGACCUAGCGGCGGACGGGUGAGUAAUGCGUAGGAAGCUACCCGAUAGAGGGGGAUACCAGUUGGAAACGACUGUUAAUACCGCAUAAUGUCUACGGACCAAAGUGUGGGACCUUCGGGCCACAUGCUAUCGGAUGCGCCUACGUGGGAUUAGCUAGUUGGUGGGGUAAUGGCUCACCAAGGCGACGAGCCCUAGCUGGUUUGAGAGGAUGAUCAGCCACACUGGAACUGAGACACGGUCCAGACUCCUACGGGAGGCAGCAGUGGGGAAUAUUGGACAAUGGGCGCAAGCCUGAUCCAGCCAUGCCGCGUGUGUGAAGAAGGCCUUCGGGUUGUAAAGCACUUUCAGCGAGGAGGAAGGGUUGUGUGUUAAUAGCACAUAGCUUUGACGUUACUCGCAGAAGAAGCACCGGCUAACUCUGUGCCAGCCGCCGCCGUAAAAC